GUGUAUGUAAAAUAGAUUCACUUGGCCGUACACCUGAAAUUAACACAUUAUAAGUCAACUAUACUCCAAUAUUUUUUUUAAAAAAGAGCAAAUAUCCAAGCAAAAAGAGGAUGCAAUUUGAAUUUGAAUUUGAAUCACUCUAAACAUAUUAAUACAAGUAUUUCUGCUAGUUAAAACCAAACCAAAAACAAAAAAAAACAAAAAACAAAAAAAAACCCAAAAAACCUUUAGCCUCCUAGGCCUUCCCUGAGUUUCAGAACAAAUUUAAUCAGAGAAGUGAGAAAAUUCAGAAAUAAAGGAAAACCGUCAAGCAAGACAAACUAAGAAGAGUUUAGCCAUUCGACAAAGUCAAGGACCUCAAGAACCUUAAGUUCCUCCUCAAGGACUACAGGUGUGAUGACCGUUUUUAACUCCACGGCGAUUUUGAAGACCAGGAACGUUCAUGGGAAACACGUUCCAUUGGAUGUGAGCAUCUCCUCUGAGUUUCCUUGUGGUGUCUGCCUCCCAAAGCCUUCUUCCUCCCUCCUCCGUACCUGAUCAAGCACAGGUGAAGGAGUGAAGUCAUUGCUCUAGACCUGCCACCCGAGAGACAGGAUGCAGACACAUCACCAAAGACUUAAGAGAGACAGAAGAAAUGCCUUCUCCACGGGCAGAUGGAGUGAGCAGUGUAGAAUCCAUCACCACAGUUCAAGGCAUCUCAGAGACUCAUUUCUGAAGCCAGGGCAGAAGAAUCGUGCUGCAUCUCUACGGAAACGUAGGUUUGUCAGUGGUUUCUAUUUUUGUUUAUCUCCCAUUAUUUUUCCAGGUAUGUUUCUUCUUUCUCCGCUUGACUUCCUACCUCCUGCCCCUUCAUGUUUUUUUCUUCCCUUCCUUCCUCUUCCUCCUCUAGGAAAACAGGGGACUUUUACUUUUGUGUACUGGCUGAAAAAAAUGUAACAUCAGGAGACACUUUGAUAAUCCUGUGAUUGUGACCGUGAUAAGGAGGAGAGAAGGAAGAACAGCAAAACUAAUUUGCCCCCAUACAAAAUCACUCACCUUUUGCAGACAAACUGCCCAUUUUCUCUAUUCCAUUCAAGCUACACUGGGUGGGAAAAUUUCGAUCAUAAACUCCCUGAAGAUGGCGUUCCCAUCAUGGCUCAGUGGUUAACAAACCCAACUAGUAUCCAUGAGGACACAGGUUCGAUCCUUGGCCUCGCUCAGUGGGUUAAGGAUCCAGCAUUGCUGUGAGCUGUGGUGUAAGUCACAGAUGCAGCUCAGAUCCUGUGUUGCUGUGGCUGGGACGUAAGCCGGCGGCUACAGCUCCAAUUCAACCCCUAGCCUGGAACUUCCAUUUGCCGCAGGUGCAGCCCUGAAAAGACAACAACGACACACACACAAAAAUCACUGAAGAAUGUAAAACUGAAUUAUUUGUGUUAGGGUCUUUUUUAAAGGAAAGAUCAAUUUUUCUCUGGUUUUCAUACAUGUCACGUUCAAGUUCAUGUGUUUUUCAUGCUGGGGAGAUGGUGGGAGUGGAUUGUAUUUCAUGCAAGCAAUUCUUCUAAGGAGAUGUAUCAGUGAUAGUCAAUGCAGACUUCAAAACCUACUUCAUCUGAGACAGUGAACAUCUAGGGAAACAUGAAUGUACCUUUUUUCUAUACAACUAAAACCCAUCAGAGUAGCCCAGGUAGCCAAUAAUUCAAGUGCCAUUAUCUCAUUAUCCAUAGGAUCAAUUUUGGUCCCUGUGGUGCACCUGUAGACACUUGCUGCUGCCAACUGGGAAAGAAAAAAGCACAACCUAGAAGUUAUGAAUUAUGGUUUGUUCAGCAGAUUUUCUGGGGACUUUAAGCCCAGGAGGCAGCCUCUCAGCUCCGAGGACCGGCUCUGAAAAGGCCAAGGAGGAGCCAGGAUAUAGAAGAGUUUUUGCAGCAAAGACCAGAUAACAGCAAAAGAUUACUGUUUGUGAAAGAAAACCAGACAUCUCCAGUUAAUGAAUUAGUGCUUUUCUCUGUAUGGGAAGGUGCAAAAUCUGGGCUUAUUGAAAUCAUUUCUUGGAUCUGCACCUGAACUAUUCAGCAUCAAUGUCCUGUUUUUCUCCAUGCUGAAUCCCCUUGGGGGCACAAUUGGGGGCAGCUACAGUGGCUGAUGGCUCGAUGGUCACAACAUCCUUUGUUGACUGAUGUGGCAGGUGGCAUUUUUCAUCCUUAGUAUCAAUAGCCAGAACAGUGCCUGUAUUUACAGAGUACUUAAGGAGCCGAGCACAGCUGGGGUGGCUGCAGUGGCUGCUGGAUUAACGGCCAUAGCAUCUUUCAUUUGCUGAUACAACACUCUUCCCUCCACGCCGCUACUGUUUCCAGUGUGGAGUUGAUGGGGCAGGGGGGAAUCACACUGAAAAUAGUUUACAAAGAAGAGAAAGUAUAUUUUAUCUAGGUGACUUGGAAAGAGACACUGCUCAAAAACCACAGUCCACUGGGUUUAGCGGGUUUUUUGUUUUGUUCUUGGUUUUGUAUUUUAGGGCCAUACCCAUGGCACAUGGAGGUUCCCAGGCUAGGGGUCAAAUCGGAGCUGUAGCUGUUGGUGUAUACCACAGCCUCAGUGACACAGUAUCCUAGUUGUGUCUGUGACGUACACCACAGCUCAUGGCAAUUCCAGAUCCUUAACCUAGUGAGUGAGGCCAGGGAUUGAACAUGUGUCCUCAUGGAUAUUACUCAGAUUCAUUUCCUCUGAGCCACGACAGUAACUCCUCAUUCAGAAUUUUUGUUACCAUCAUAACCCUUGGCUAGGAAAUGCGGGGAAGUGUGAUUAAAACAUUGUUUUUACAGCCAAGUUGCAUAAAAAAAUCAUUAAGGAGUUUGCAUCGUGGCUCAGUGGCUACGAGCCUGACUAGUAUCCAAGAGAAUGCAGGUUCGAUCCCUGGCCUUGCUCAGUGGCGUUGCCGUGCACUGUGGUGUGGGUCACAGACGUGGGUCACAGACAUGUCUCAGAUCCAGUGUGGCUAUGGUGUAGGCCAGUGGCUGCAGCUCUGAUUUGACCCCUAACCCAGAAACCUCCAUAUGCUGCAGUGCAGCCCUAAAAAAACAAAAAAUAAAUAAAUAACAAAAGAUCA
rnacentral:lncRNA from 1 species